rnacentral:tRNA from 1 species
GGCCGGUUAGCUCAGUCGGUUGAGCGUGGUGCUGACAACAUCAAGGUCAUGGGUUCGAUCCCUGCUCAGUCCC